rnacentral:rRNA from 1 species
UGGCGGACGGGGGAGUAACGCGUGGGUAACCUGCCUCACACUGGGGGACAACAGUUAGAAAUGACUGCUAAUACCGCAUAAGCGCACAGGACCGCAUGGUCCGGUGUGAAAAACUCCGGUGGUGUGAGAUGGACCCGCGUUUGAUUAGCUAGUUGGUGGGGUAACGGCCUACCAAGGCGACGAUCAAUAGCCGACCUGAGAGGGUGACCGGCCACAUUGGGACUGAGACACGGCCCAA